GAGGAACCUGCCUUUCAGAGGGGGACAACAGUUGGAAACGACUGCUAAUACCGCAUGAAGCAGCGAGGGGACAUCCCCUUGCUGUCAAAGAUUUAUCGCUGAAAGAUGGCCUCGCGUCUGAUUAGCUAGUUGGUGGGGUAACGGCCCACCAAGGCGACGAUCAGUAGCCGGACUGAGAGGUUGACCGGCCACAUUGGGACCGAGAUACGGCCCAGACUCCUACGGGAGGCAGCAGUGGGGAAUAUUGGGCAAUGGACGCAAGUCUGACCCAGCAACGCCGCGUGAAGGAAGAAGGCUUUCGGGUUGUAAACUUCUUUUAACAGGGAAGAGAAGAAGACGGUACCUGUUGAAUAAGCCACGGCUAACUACGUGCCAGCAGCCGCGGUAAUACGUAGGUGGCAAGCGUUGUC
rnacentral:rRNA from 1 species